ACGCACCUUUCGGGGUGAGUGGCGGACGGGUGAGUAACGCGUGAGAAUCUGCCUUUUGGUCGGGGACAACCACUGGAAACGGUGGCUAAUACCGGAUGUGCCUACGGGUAAAAGAUUUAUUGCCAGAAGAAGAGCUCGCGUCUGAUUAGCUAGUUGGUAGGGUAAAAGCCUACCAAGGCAUCGAUCAGUAGCUGGUCUGAGAGGAUGACCAGCCACACUGGGACUGAGACACGGCCCAGACUCCUACGGGAGGCAGCAGUGGGGAAUUUUCCGCAAUGGGCGAAAGCCUGACGGAGCAAGACCGCGUGAGGGAGGAAGGCUCUUGGGUUGUAAACCUCUUUUGUCAGGGAAGAAGAAAGUGACGGUACCUGACGAAUCAGCAUCGGCUAACUCCGUGCCAGCAGCCGCGGUAAUACGGAGGAUGCAAGCGUUAUCCGGAAUUAUUGGGCGUAAAGCGUCCGCAGGUGGCACUUCAAGUCUGUCGUCAAAGACCGGGGCUUAACCCUGGAAAGGCGAUGGAAACUGAAAGGCUAGAGAGAGGUAGGGGUAGAGGGAAUUCCCAGUGUAGCGGUGAAAUGCGUAGAGAUUGGGAAGAACAUCGGUGGCGAAAGCGCUCUACUGGACCUCAUCUGACACUCAGGGACGAAAGCUAGGGGAGCGAAUGGGAU
rnacentral:rRNA from 1 species